UAUUGAUUAUUUGGUUGAAAUGAAUAUUCGUGUUGUGAAAAAUUUACUGAAAUGAACUAUUUUUAAUUGUCUCCCUUUACUCGCCUUUAGAUAGUUUAGAUGGUGUCUGUUUGCUCACUGGGAUUACAAAAUCUCACCCAUUCUUCCUAUACAUUUUUUAGGCUCAGGACAGUUUAUAGAUAGUCAAGUAGGACGAGAACUAAGCUUGAAACUGCAUUAUAGAAAGUAAGAGUUCACAGUCUUACAUCCUCUUGGUCAAUUGGGGCCCACGUGUCACUGUAAAAGUAAUUUUAUUCUUUAGUUAUUUGAUUUAAAGUAUGUAUGAAUAUAUUUAGCUUUUAUACCAUAUUUUUGGCGAGUUUCGGUAUUUUCGAAGAAAAAUGACGAAAAUGCCCCUGUGAGCCAGAAAGUAAUAUUUUAUUGUUUUGAUUUGGAAAUGACUUAUAAUUUCUUGAAAUGUGAGAUUUAAUAAUUGUCGCUCACCGGGGAGAUG
rnacentral:lncRNA from 1 species